rnacentral:rRNA from 1 species
GAUGAACGCUGGCGGCGUGCCUAAUACAUGCAAGUCGAGCGAACAGACGAGGAGCUUGCUCCUCUGAUGUUAGCGGCGGACGGGUGAGUAACACGUGGAUAACCUACCUAUAAGACUGGGAUAACUUCGGGAAACCGGAGCUAAUACCGGAUAACAUGUUGAACCGCAUGGUUCAACAGUGAAAGACGGUCUUGCUGUCACUUAUAGAUGGAUCCGCGCCGCAUUAGCUAGUUGGUAAGGUAACGGCUUACCAAGGCAACGAUGCGUAGCCGACCUGAGAGGGUGAUCGGCCACACUGGAACUGAGACACGGUCCAGACUCUUACGGGAGGCAGCAGUAGGGAAUCUUCCGCAAUGGGCGAAAGCCUGACGGAGCAACGCCGCGUGAGUGAAGAAGGUCUUCGGAUCGUAAAACUCUGUUAUUAGGGAAGAACAAAUGUGUAAGUAACUAUGCACGUCUUGACGGUACCUAAUCAGAAAGCCACGGCUAACUACGUG